UACAGAGGUCUCAAGCGUUGUUCGGAUUCAUUGGGCGUAAAGGGUGCGUAGGUGGCGGGGCAAGUCAGGUGUGAAAUCUCGGGGCUCAACCCCGAAACUGCAUUUGAUACUGCCUUGCUCGAGUACUGGAGAGGAGAUUGGAAUUUACGGUGUAGCAGUGAAAUGCGUAGACAUCGUAAGGAAGACCAGUGGCGAAGGCGAAUCUCUGGACAGUUACUGACACUGAGGCACGAAGGCCAGGGGAGCAAACGGG
rnacentral:rRNA from 1 species